AUUGAACGCUGGCGGUAGGCCUAACACAUGCAAGUCGAGCGGAGCGGCGGACGGGUGAGUAAUGCCUAGGAAUCUGCCUGGUAGUGGUGGAUAACGUCCGGAAACGGGCGCUAAUACCGCAUCCUCUCAGAUGAGCCUCGGUCGGAUUAGCUAGUUGGUGGGGUAAAGGCCUACCAAGGCGACGAUCCGUAACUGGUCUGAGAGGAUGAUCAGUCACACGGGAACUGAGAAACGGUCCAGACUCCUACGGGAGGAAGCAGUGGGGAAUAGUGGACAAGGGGCGAAAGCCUGAUCCAGCAAGGCCGCGUGUGUGAAGAAGGUCUUCGGAUUGUAAAGCACUUUAAGUUGGGAGGCGUUACCAACAGAAUAAGCACCGGCUAACUUCGUGCCAGCAGCCGCGGUAAUAC
rnacentral:rRNA from 1 species